CCUCGCAAAGUCUCGCGCCAUUCCGAGUCCGGCGGACAAAGUUGGCCAGCCCCACCCCCCAAGGCUAUAGCCCACCCGUUUUUGUGGCCUUUUUCCGCUGGACGAACUUGGCGCCCCGGCCUUCGGGUGGUUAAUUUUGGGCGUGGCUUUGUCCGCGGCCUAUUUUCCACGCACGGAGGCCCCUCGUAAAGUCUCGCGGCAUUCCGAGUCCGGCGGAUGAAGUUGGCCAGCCCCACCCCCCAAGGCUAUAGCCCACCCAUUUUUGUGGCCUUUUUCCGCUGGACGAACUUGGCGCCCUGGCCUUCGGGUGGUUAUUUUUGGGUGCCGCUUUGCCCGCGGCCUAUUUCUGGCACACGAAGGCCCCUCGCAAAGUCUCUCGGUAUUCCGAGUCCGGCGGACGAAGUUGGCCAGCCCCACCCCCAAAGGCUAUAGCCCACCCGUUUUUGUGGCCUUUUUCCGCUGGACGAACUUGGCGCCCCGGCCUUCGGGUGGUUAAUUUUGGGCGUGGCUUUGUCCGCGGCCUAUUUUCCACGCACGGAGGCCCCUCGUAAAGUCUCGCGGCAUUCCGAGUCCGGCGGACGAAGUUGGCCAGCCCCACCCCCCAAUGCUAUAGCCCACCCGUUUUUGAGGCCUUUUUCCGCUGGACGAACUUGGCGCCCCGGCCUUCGGGUGGUUAUUUUUGGGCGCCGCUUUGCCCGCGGCCUAUUUUUCACGCACGGAGGCCCCUCGCAAAGUCUCGCGGCAUUCCGAGUCCGGCGGACGAAGUUGGUUAGCCCCACCCCCCAAGGCUAUAGCCCGCCCGUUUUUGUGGCCUUUUACCGCUGGACUAACUUGGCGCCCCGGCCUUCGGGCGGUUAAUUUUGGGUGCGGCUUUGGCCGCGGCCUAUAUUUCACGCACAGAGGCCCCUCGCAAAGUCUCGCGGCAUUCCGAGUCCGGCGGAUGAAGUUGGCCAGGCCCACCCCCCAAGGCUAUAGCCCACCCGUUUUUGUGGCCUUUUUCCGCUGGACGAACUUGGCGCCCCGGCCUUCGGUAGGUUAUUUUUGGGCUCGGCUUUGGCCGCGGCCUAUUUUUUGCGCACAGAGGCCCCUCGUAAAGUCUCGCGGCAUUCCGAGUCCGGCGGAUGAAGUUGGCCAGCCCCACCCCCCAAGGCUAUAGCCCACCCAUUUUUGUGGCCUUUUUCCGCUGGACGAACUUGGCUCCCUGGCCUUCGGGUGGUUAUUUUUGGGUGCCGCUUUGCCCGCGGCCUAUUUCUGGCACACGAAGGCCCCUCGCAAAGUCUCUCGGUAUUCCGAGUCCGGCGGACGAAGUUGGCCAGCCCCACCCCCGAAGGCUAUAGCCCACCCGUUUUUGUGGCCUUUUUCCGCUGGACGAACUUGGCGCCCCGGCCUUCGGGAGUUUAUUUUUGGGUGCGGCCUUUGCUCGCGGCCUAUUUUUGGCACAUGGAGGCCCCUCCCAAAGUCCCGCGGCGUUCCGAAGUCGGCGGGACAAAGUGGGCAGCCCCCACCCCCCAAGGCUAAAUCCCCCCCGUUUUUGUGGCCUUUUUCCGCUGGACGAACUUGGCGCCCCGGCCUUCGGGUGGUUAUUUUUGGGCGCCGCUUUGCCCGCGGCAUAUUUCUGGUACACGAAGGCCCCUCACAAAGUCUCUCGGCAUUCCGAGUCCGGCGGACGAAGUUGGCCAGCCCCACCCCCCAAGGGUACAGCCCACCCGUUUUUGUGGCCUUUUUCCGCUGGACGAACUUGGCGCCCCGGCCUUCGGGAGUUUAUUUUUGGGCGAGGCUUUGCCCGCGGCCUAUUUUUGGCACACGGAGGCCCCUCGCAAAGUCUCGCGCCAUUCCGAGUCCGGCGGAUGAAGUUGGCCAGCCCCACCCCCCAAGGCUAUAGCCCACCCGUUUUUGUGGCCUUUUUCCGCUGACGAACUGGGCGACCCGCCCUCGGGAGUUUAUUUUUGGCGCGGCUUUGCCCGCGGCCUAUUUUGGCACACGGAGGCCCCUCGCAAAGUCUCGCGCCAUUCCGAGUCCGGCGGACGAAGUUGGCCAGCUCCACCCCCCAAAGGCUAUAGCCCACCCGUUUUUGUGGCCUUUUUCCGCUGGACGAACUUGGUGCCCCGGCCUUCGGGAGUUUAUUUUUGGGCGAGGCUUUGCCCGCGGCCUAUUUUUGGCACACGGAGGCCCCUCGCAAAGUCUCGCGCCAUUCCGAGUCCGGCGGAUGAAGUUGGCCAGCCCCACCCCCCAAGGCUAUAGCCCGCCCGUUUUUGUGGCCUUUUACCACUGGACUAACUUGGCGCCCCGGCCUUUGGGCGGUUAUUUUUGGCCGCGGCUUUGCCCGUGGCCUAUUUUUCGCAAACGGAGGCCCCUCACAAAGUCUCGCGGCGUUCCGAGUCCGGCGGACGAAGUUGGCCAGCCCCACCCCCCAAGGCUAUAGCCCGCCCGUUUUUGUGGCCUUUUACCGCUGGACGAACUUGGCGCCCCGGCCUUCGGGAGUUUAUUUUUGGGUGCGGCUUUGCUCGCGGCCUAUUUUUGGUACACAGAGGCCCCUCGCAAAGUCUCGCGCCAUUCCGAGUCCGGCGGACGAAGUUGGCCUGCCCCACCCCCCAAGGCUAUAGCCCACCCGUUUUUGUGGCCUUUUUCCGCUGGACGAACUUGGCGCCCCGGCCUUCGGGAGGUUAUUUUUGGGCGCAGCUAUGCCCGCGGCCUAUUUUUGGCACACGGAGGCCCCUCGCAAAGUCUCACGCCAUUCCGAGUCCGGCGGACGAAGUUGGCCAGCCCCAACCCCCAAGGCUAUAGCCCACCCGUUUUUGUGGCCUUUUUCCGCUGGACGAACUUGGCGCCCCGGCCUC
rnacentral:lncRNA from 1 species